rnacentral:tRNA from 1 species
AGGAAUGUAGUUAAAUUUUAUAACAUUUAUUUUGCUUUUAAAUAUUAAUUUUUAAAAAAUUUAUUCUUA